rnacentral:rRNA from 1 species
GAUGAACGCUAGCGGCAGGCUUAACACAUGCAAGUCGAGGGGUAGAGGUUGCUUGCAACCUUGAGACCGGCGCACGGGUGCGUAACGCGUAUGCAACCUACCUUUUACAGAGGGAUAGCCCAGAGAAAUUUGGAUUAAUACCUCAUAGUAUAUAACCUUCGCAUGUUGGUUAUAUUAAAGUUCCAACGGUAAGAGAUGGGCAUGCGUCCUAUUAGCUAGAUGGUAAGGUAACGGCUUACCAUGGCAACGAUAGGUAGGGGUCCUGAGAGGGAGAUCCCCCACGCUGGUACUGAGAACCGGACCAGACUCCUACGGGAGGCAGCAGUGAGGAAUAUUGGACAAUGGGCGCAAGCCUGAUCCAGCCAUGCUGCGUGCAGGAAGAAGCAUCUAUGGUGUGUAAACUGCUUUUGUACAGGAAGAAACACCCCGACGUGUCGGGGCUUGACGGUACUGUAAGAAUAAGGUUCGGCUAACUCCGUGCCAGCCGCCGCGGUAA